rnacentral:rRNA from 1 species
AACGAACGCUGGCGGCGUGCCUAACACAUGCAAGUCGAGCGCGAAUGGAGCAAUCCUAGUAGCGCGGCGCACGGGUGCGUAACACGUGGGUAAUCUGCCUGGGAGACCGGAAUAACCUGCCGAAAGGCUGGCUAAUACCGGAUAAGCCCACGGACUCUUCGGAGUCUGAGGAAAGGUGCCUCUGUAUACAAGCUAUCACUUCCAGAUGAGCCCGCGGCCCANCAGCUCGUUGGCGGGGUAAAGGCCCACCAAGGCAACGACGGGUAGCUGGUCUGAGAGGACGAUCAGCCACACUGGAACUGAGACACGGUCCAGACUCCUACGGAGCAGCAGUGGGAAUUUUGCACAAUGGGCGAAAGCCUGAUGCAGCAACG